UGACUUUUAAUUCCCAAAGACUUACUGAA
rnacentral:piRNA from 1 species